rfam:Ictidomys tridecemlineatus contig107002, whole genome shotgun sequence.
GGGGAUAUAGCUCAGUUGGUAGAGUGCUUGCCUAAUAUGCACAAGGCCCUGGGUUAAAUCCCCAGGACCACCA